GACCCGGCAUCGGGUAGAGGGAAAAGGAGCAAUCCGCUUUGAGAUGGCCUCGCGUCCGAUUAGCUAGUUGGUGAGGUAACGGCCCACCAAGGCAACGAUCGGUAGCCGGACUGAGAGGUUGAACGGCCACAUUGGGACUGAGACACGGCCCAGACUCCUACGGGAGGCAGCAGUAGGGAAUAUUGCACAAUGGGGGAAACCCUGAUGCAGCGACGCCGCGUGGAGGAAGAAGGUCUUCGGAUUGUAAACUCCUGUUGUUGAGGAAGAUAAUGACGGUACUCAACAAGGAAGUGACGGCUAACUACGUGCCAGCAGCCGCGGUAAAACGUAGGUCACAAGCGUUGUCCGGAAUUACUGGGUGUAAAGGGAGCGCAGGCGGGAAGACAAGUUGGAAGUGAGAUCCAUGGGCUCAACCCAUGAACUGCUUUCAAAACUGUUUUUCUUGAGUAGUGCAGAGGUAGGCGGAAUUCCCGGUGUAGCGGUGGAAUGCGUAGAUAUCGGGAGGAACACCAGUGGCGAAGGCGGCCUACUGGGCACCAACUGACGCUGAGGCUCGAAAGUGUGGGUAGCAAACAGGAUUAGAUACCCUGGUAGUCCACACCGUAAACGAUGAUUACUAGGUGUUGGAGGAUUGACCCCCUCAGUGCCGCAGUUAACACAAUAAGUAAUCCACCUGGGGAGUACGACCGCAAGGUUGAAACUCAAAGGAAUUGACGGGGGCCCGCACAAGCAGUGGAGUAUGUGGUUUAAUUCGACGCAACGCGAAGAACCUUACCAAGUCUUGACAUCCUGCGACGGUGCUGGAAACAGUAUUUUCCUUCGGGACGCAGAGACAGAUGGUGCAUGGUUGUCGUCAGCUCGUGUCGUGAGAUGUUGGGUUAAGUCCCGCAACGAGCGCAACCCUUAUGGUCAGUUACUACGCAAGAGGACUCUGGCCAGACUGCCGUUGACAAAACGGAGGAAGGUGGGGAGGACGUCAAAUCAUCAUGCCCUUUAUGACUUGGGCUACACACGUACUACAAUGGCGUUAAACAAAGAGAAGCAAGACCGCGAGGUGGAGCAAAACUCAGAAACAACGUCCCAGUUCGGACUGCAGGCUGCAACUCGCCUGCACGAAGUCGGAAUUGCUAGUAAUCGUGGAUCAGCAUGCCACGGUGAAUA
rnacentral:rRNA from 1 species